CACGUAAUAAAUGUACGUUUAGGGGUGAUAGGCUUUUCAAACGUUCCUAUAACUUGUUUCAUAUGAAAAGUAUUAAGUACCUAAACAAAUUUAAAAAGUUAAGCUUUUAAAUAACUAUUAAAGAUAUUAUCCCCUUGUAGUGUAGUUUAAUAGCUAUCUACAUAAUAACUUAAUAUAAAGUAUAAUAGUUUAUAUUUUAUAAUAUGACGUUAACAAUUUUGUUUAAUAUUUGAAAAUGUUAGUAUUAGUAAUAUUAGUAUAUGUGCUAAAGGAACUCGGCAAAAAACCACUCAACUGUUUAUCAAAAACAUAGCUAUAUGAAUUAAUAUAUAGUUAUUUCUGCUCAAUGACUUAAAUAGCCGCAGUACUCUGACUGUGCAAAGGUAGCAUAAUCAGUUGGCUUUUAAUUAGAGUCUGGUAUGAACGAAAAUAUGGGUAGUAACUGUCUUAGCACAUUUUUCUGAACUUAUUAAACAAGUGCAAAUGCUUGUAAUUUAACAAUAGACGAGAAGACCCUAGAAACUUGGACAAGUUUUUGUUGGGGCGACAGAAUUACAUUUAACUAAUCUUAUAACACACGACGCGAUGUUGAAAGAAUAAGUUACUCUAGGGAUAACAGCAUAAUUUCAUUAGUUUGUGACCUCGAUGUUGGACUAGGUACUAUACCCUUAAGGCAAGGAUAUAUUAUGCUCUGUUCGAGCAAAAUUACCUACAUGAUCUGAGUUCAGACCGG
rnacentral:rRNA from 1 species